GUCCCUGUCCCUGUCCCUGUCCCUGUCCCCAUCCCUGUCCCUGUCCCUGUCCCUGUCCCUGUCCCUGUCCCUGUCCCUGUCGCUGUCCCAGGGGGUGCUGGCGGGUCUGGCCCUGGGCCUGUCGCUGUCCCUGUGGGUGGCCAUUGGUGCCACCCUGUACCCGCCCAGCGCGGCCACCAUGGGGGUGCUGCCAACCUCGGGGGCGCUGUGUCCCCCCCGCAACGUCACCAGCGCCACCAGCGCCACCCACGGCACCGCCCUGGCCCCCGAGCCGCUGCGCCCGGCUGUCCUGGGUGAGCUGUACUCCGUGUCCUACCUGUACUACGGAGCCCUGGGGACCCUGGGCACGCUGGGGACAGGCGUCCUGCUCAGCCUCCUGCCAGGGCAGAGCCGCUGUCCCCAGGGCGUGCUGUGGUGGGACAUUGUCAGGGCCCCGGCUGUCCCCAAGGGUGACAACACCCGCGGGGACCGGGCCCUGGACACGGCCACCGUCACCCGGGAGCUGCUGGAGCGGCCGGACGGGGAGGGGACACCCCGGUGUGACCCCCCCGAGGGUGGCACUGUCACCGAGAGCGACGUGUAGGGGACAUGGGGACAGUGGGGACAGCAGGGUGGGGACAAGGUGCUGGCCCAAAUAAAGGAGCUGCUGGUCCUGGAUGGAGCCUGUCC
rnacentral:lncRNA from 1 species